GCCAGGCGAGGUGGCGGGCGCCUGUAGUCCCAACUACUCGGGAGGCUGAGGCAGAAGGGCAUGAACCCGGGAGGCAGAGCUUGCAGUGAGCUGAGAUUCGGCCACUGCACUCCAGCCUGGGCGACAGAGCAANNNNNNNNNNUUGCUCUGUCGCCCAGGCUGGAGUGCAGUGGCCGAAUCUCAGCUCACUGCAAGCUCUGCCUCCCGGGUUCAUGCCCUUCUGCCUCAG
rnacentral:SRP_RNA from 1 species